GUUAAAACACGGGUUCUUGUACGAUCACCGAGAUUAAGCAACGUCGAGCCUAGUCAGUAUUUAAAUGGGUAACCCCUUGGGAAUACCAGAUGCUGUAAU